rnacentral:rRNA from 1 species
AGAAUGAACGCUAGCGAUAUGCUUAACACAUGCAAGUUGAACGUUGUUUUCGAAUCAGAAUGAGAACAAAGUAGCGAACGGGUGCGUAACACGUGGGAAUCUGCCGAACAGUUUGGGCCAAAUCCCGAAUGAAUAAAAGCUAAAAAGCGCUGUUUGAUGAGCCCACGUAGUAUUAGGUAGUUGGUUAGGUAAAAGCUGACCAAGCCUACGAUGCUUAGCUGGUCUUUUCGGAUGAUCAGCCACACUGGGACUGAGACACGGCCCAGACUCCUACGGGAGGCAGCAGUGGGGAAUCUUGGACAAUGGGCGAAAGCCUGAUCCGGCAAUAUGGCGUGAGUGAAGAAGGGCAACGCAGCUUGUAAAGCUCUUUCAUCGAGUGUGCGAUUGUGACAAGACUCGAAUAAGGAAGCCCCGGCUAACCUCCGCGCCAGCAGCCGC